rnacentral:misc_RNA from 1 species
GUCUGGAAAGACACAUGCAGCAGCAGCAAUUGCUCGUCUACUCCAUUCUCGCAGAAUUGAUUAUGCCAUAACUGAUUGUGUUAAUCGUGCUGGAACGGUUCUUGCAUUAGUUUCAUUCUUAGAAUCCGCUAAUGGUGGACCUGUUGCCACAUCAGAGGCACUAGAUGCACUAGCUAUUCUGUCAAGGUCAGAAGGGGCCAGUGGGCACAUUAAACCAGCAUGGACAGUUUUAGCUGAAUGCCCAAGAAGUAUAACCCCAAUAGUUUCAUCCAUUGCAGAUGCAAAACCUUUGUUGCAGGAUAAAGCUAUUGAAAUAUUGUCACGACUAUGUCGAGAUCAGCCUGUUGUUUUAGGAGA